GUGGACAAAUGAAGCUAAAUAUGACAGUUGCCUAGAUGAGAGUCCUUUUAUCCUUUAUCAGUACAUGUUUAUCCCUUUCAAAGUUGCACACUUAGUUGAAGAGUUCAAACCUACAUGAUACUAGAAGGCUAUUUUUCCAGUCAAUAAUAUUCAAGUAGCCAUGCUCCUUGUUGCAGUCUUCUAACAAACUUGAUGUCAAUUUGCAAGAGACUAUGGGAUAGUCAAACUUAUAAACAUCUAGGCACAUCCGAAUAAAGCUUUCCAUGUAGGAAUCUGAAUUUCUGG
rfam:Mesocricetus auratus contig195587, whole genome shotgun sequence.